GGAUGUGAGGGAGAUCUGGCUGCAACAUCUGUCACCCCAUUGACCACCAGGGUUGAUUGGGCUGAUCAGGCCAACUAGGUGGGUGUCCCCUUCCUCCCUCUCUGCUCCAUGUGCAUCAGGACGGCCUUCCCUAAAUAGAGACAAACUGAUGUUCAGUCGAGGGUAUACGAGGGUAUAUGAGUAGCUGCACUCCCCUACUAGAACAUCCAAACAAGUUCUACUAGAACGUCCAAACAAGUUCUCAAGGUCCAACUUGUAGAGGCUAUAGAACUUGGAAGUGAGCUCAGCUCUAUACCAAAGUCUCUAGUCCCU
rnacentral:snRNA from 1 species